rnacentral:rRNA from 1 species
GACGAACGCUGGCGGCGUGCUUAACACAGGCAAGUCGAACGGAAAGGCCCUGCUUUUGUGGGGUGCUCGAGUGGCGAACGGGUGAGUAACACGUGAGUAACCUGCCCUUGACUUUGGGAUAACUUCAGGAAACUGGGGCUAAUACCGGAUAGGAGCUCCUGCUGCAUGGUGGGGGUUGGAAAGUUUCGGCGGUUGGGGAUGGACUCGCGGCUUAUCAGCUUGUUGGUGGGGUAGUGGCUUACCAAGGCUUUGACGGGUAGCCGGCCUGAGAGGGUGACCGGCCACAUUGGGACUGAGAUACGGCCCAGACUCCUACGGGAGGCAGCAGUGGGGAAUAUUGCACAAUGGGCGGAAGCCUGAUGCAGCAACGCCGCGUGCGGGAUGACGGCCUUCGGGUUGUAAACCGCUUUCGCCUGUGACGAAGCGUGAGUGACGGUAAUGGGUAAAGAAGCACCGGCUAACUACGUGCCAGCAGCCGCGGUGAUACGUAGGGUGCGAGCGUUGUCCGGAUUUAUUGGGCGUAAAGGGCUCGUAGGUGGUUGAUCGCGUCGGAAGUGUAAUCUUGGGGCUUAACCCUGAGCGUGCUUUCGAUACGGGUUGACUUGAGGAAGGUAGGGGAGAAUGGAAUUCCUGGUGGGGCGGUGGAAUGCGCAGAUAUCAGGAGGAACACCAGUGGCGAAGGCGGUUCUCUGGGCCUUUCCUGACGCUGAGGAGCGAAAGCGUGGGGAGCGAACAGGCUUAGAUACCCUGGUAGUCCACGCUGUAAACGGUGGGUACUAGGUGUGGGGUCCAUUCCACGGGUUCCGUGCCGUAGCUAACGCUUUAAGUACCCCGCCUGGGGAGUACGGCCGCAAGGCUAAAACUCAAAGGAAUUGACGGGGCCCCGCACAAGCGGCGGAGCAUGCGGAUUAAUUCGAUGCAACGCGUAGAACCUUACCUGGGUUUGACAUGGAUCGGGAGUGCUCAGAGAUGGGUGUGCCUCUUUUGGGGUCGGUUCACAGGUGGUGCAUGGCUGUCGUCAGCUCGUGUCGUGAGAUGUUGGGUUAAGUCCCGCAACGAGCGCAACCCUUGUUCACUGUUGCCAGCACGUUAUGGUGGGGACUCAGUGGAGACCGCCGGGGUCAACUCGGAGGAAGGUGGGGAUGACGUCAAGUCAUCAUGCCCCUUAUGUCCAGGGCUUCACGCAUGCUACAAUGGCUGGUACAGAGAGUGGCGAGCCUGUGAGGGUGAGCGAAUCUCGGAAAGCCGGUCUCAGUUCGGAUUGGGGUCUGCAACUCGACCUCAUGAAGUCGGAGUCGCUAGUAAUCGCAGAUCAGCAACGCUGCGGUGAAUACGUUCCCGGG